rnacentral:rRNA from 1 species
UCAGGACGAACGCUGGCGGCGUGCUUAACACAUGCAAGUCGAACGGUGACGAUGGAGCUUGCUUCAUCUGAUCAGUGGCGAACGGGUGAGUAACACGUGAGUAACCUGCCCCUCACUCUGGGAUAACCUCGGGAAAUCGUGGCUAAUACCGGAUAUGAGYUUCCACCGCAUGGUGGUUUCUGGAAAGUUUUUCGGUGAGGGAUGGACUCGCGGCCUAUCAGUUUGUUGGUGAGGUAAUGGCUCACCAAGGCGAUGACGGGUAGCCGGCCUGAGAGGGCGACCGGCCACACUGGGACUGAGACACGGCCCAGACUCCUACGGGAGGCAGCAGUGGGGAAUAUUGCACAAUGGGCGAAAGCCUGAUGCAGCGACGCCGCGUGAGGGAUGACGGCCUUCGGGUUGUAAACCUCUUUCAGCAGGGAAGAAGCGAAAGUGACGGUACCUGCAGAAGAAGCGCCGGCUAACUACGUGCCAGCAGCCGCGGUAAUACGUAGGGCGCAAGCGUUGUCCGGAAUUAUUGGGCGUAAAGAGCUUGUAGGUGGCUUGUCGCGUCUGCCGUGAAAACCCGAGGCUCAACCUCGGGCGUGCGGUGGGUACGGGCAGGCUAGAGUGUGGUAGGGGAGACUGGAACUCCUGGUGUAGCGGUGAAAUGCGCAGAUAUCAGGAAGAACACCGAUGGCGAAGGCAGGUCUCUGGGCC